GUAGAUAUAGUUUAACAAAAACAUUAGAUUGUGAUUCUAAAAACAGAAGUUAAAAUCCUCUUAUCUACC
rnacentral:tRNA from 1 species